AUUUGUCUAGUAUAAUUUGUAUAAUUGACUUCCAAUCAAAAGGACUGAAAUAAUUCAGGAUAAAUA
rnacentral:tRNA from 1 species